AUGAUAUCGCAAUGGGUAAAGACUUGGAAAUUGGAGUAUCUAGCAAUCCAGAUUUACAACAUGACUGUCAAUGUGAGAAUUUUUCUCCCCACCCCACAAGCAAAAGGCAAAGCAAAAUUUCUGAGAUGGAUAUUAAGCCACUUGCGAAUGGGAAGUUGGAACACAACAACAAAAAUAUAUGUACCAAACUGAGGGACGGAACUCGGAAAACGGCUGGUGCAGAUACCAAUUCUGUCAACCAACAUGUUGAAAACAAAAAAAUUGGUGGUUCAAAUGGUCCUGACGUCUUGCAACUCAAAGAUAAAUCAUGCUGUGAUUCUGGAGAGUUGCGAUCUCUUCAGUUAGCUUUAGAAGGGCUGAAAAGAGUGAGAGACAGUGGAAAUGCUGUGAAUGAUGAUUGUAAUGUUUUACGGCAUUCAGAUUUGUCAGCAUUCUCAAAAUAUAUAUUUUGCAGAUACAAUACUGCCUGUUCUGCUAAUCAGGGUCCCACGGGGAAUGUCGGUAGUUGUUCUCCACUUGAUAAUAGCUCAGUUGCAAUGAAGACAGAGACCAUGCAUAAUAUUCCAUUUCAUUUAACAGAUGUUCUCAAUCAGCAGUCUAAUGGCAGUAGCAACAAUAUUGACAUGGCUUCCACAGCUAAAAAUGUUAACCCUAAUCCAGAAGCUUUUAAUGACAAGUCAGAGUCCACAACAGCUUUCAAAUCAUUUCACUCUUCUGCCUUCCAGCCUGUGCAGAAUGGCCUUACUUGUUCUCCUCAGCUAGUGAUACCUGGGAAGGUUGAAGGUGUGGGGUCUAACUCUGUUCCUGCUCCAUUUAUGGGUACCCAACAGCAGGUUCAAGUCCAACACCACUACCGCCACUGCCACCACCACCAUUAUCACCAUCAUGUGCACAAUAUUCAGCAGCAUCAAUCAUUGGCAGACCUUGAUGAUAUCUCACUGAAGAAUAUGGCAGCAUUUACUCCACAAUGUGGAUCAUCAAAUGUGGUUGGAGGGAAAAUCAAAGGCAAUGCUGGAAACUACGGCAUGAAUGGGAGUGUCUCAGGGAGUAACCGUGGCAGUACUGGGCAAAAUGGAAGCAGCACUGUUUUGAAUAAUGUACUAACAAACAUAGAAAGUGCCAAUAGGGAAGCUGGAAAUAGUGGAGCAGGUGGCACAAGUGGGAGAAUCAGUGCGAAUGUAGUAGAUGAAGAUCGCAUUGCACAAAGAGAGGCUGCAUUGUCUAAGUUUCGCCAAAAGAGGAAAGAAAGAUGUUUUGAGAAAAGGGUCCGAUACCAGCGCAGGAAAAGAUUGGCAGAACAGCGACCUCGUGUCAAGGGACAAUUUGUUCGGCAGACAAUGUCUGAAUCUAUAAUAGGAAGGGAUUGCCGAAGCAAUGACCUCACUUCUGAAGACAACUCUUGUGCUAGUAUAAGAUAGCAGCAGAACGAAUGCAUGUUGCUAACCCAACCCUAGUCCCCGCCUCGCAUUUGGUUUUGUGAACAUGAGACUAGCAAUAGCUGUGUACGCGGGGAGCGGGUUCCAGGUUGUACUGGAGGAGACUUUCAGAGGUCGGUGGAGAGCUCUUUUGCCUGGGACAACCAACAUCCCCGAAGGUGAAAAGUGUACUCCAAUGGCAGGUCUAAUCAGGCUCAACCUAUUUUUCUCUCAAAAUUGAGGACCUUAAUGAGUUAUCCACAAACAUUUUCCUGCUUCUUGAGCAUUGAGAAAGAAGCAGCAUAAUUGCAAUCAGUAAUGAAUAGACCACCGUACAAACAAGAAUCAAGAAUGUGAUCAGUGUUCAAUGAGCCCAACAACCAUGUUAGAAAGGCCUAACUUGGACGGACAUCAUCAUUCAAUUCAUUUUCUUUUACAUAAAUCAAAAUUCUUAAAGAAAAAAAAAAUGAUUAACUAAAAUUUAAUUAUUUAAAUUAUAAAAUAAAUCGAUAAAUAGCAGCUCUUCAUCA